rnacentral:rRNA from 1 species
UACAGAGGUGGCAAGCGUUGUUCGGAUUUACUGGGCGUAAAGGGUGCGUAGGCGGCCUUGUGUGUCAGGUGUGAAAUCCCACGGCUCACCCGUGGAAAUGCACUUGAAACUGCAGGGAUCGAGUUCAGGAGAGGUAAGCGGAAUUCUUGGUGUAGCAGUGAAAUGCGUAGAUAUCAAGAGGAACACCGGUGGCGAAGGCGGCUUACUGGACUGAUACUGACGCUGAGGCACGAAAGCCAGGGUAGCAAAAAGG